AGGUUCCACCCUUUUCUGGGAACUUUACACCCCGCCACUCCUGAGCACCGCACACCGGCUUCCUCCCAGUCCCUCAUCUGAGAACUCAUGAAGCCACUUGGAAUCCCUCUCUGCUUUGCCUGGCUCAUUCCAUGUCAAUUUCAGAUCUUCACUUCAGGUCAGCUCCAAGGAGGCUAUCCUUGCCCAUCUUCCUAAAAUAGAGCUCUCAAAACCUGGCUGUUUUCCUUCAGAGCACUGGCCUCCAAUUGCUCCGGUAGAUUGCAAAUGACCUGCUUUCUUUCUGUUCCCGGGCUGCGUUCGGACCCCUGUCGGAGAGUAAAUCCGAAAAAAACAAACAAAGACAUGGAUUUACUGUGCAUAUUAGCAGAUCCAUACUGGAAAAUGCAUGGAGGUUUCAUAUACACCACUUACAGUUUUCAGCUCCUCAGUAGUGACAAAGCCAUACCCAUCAUUGUCGAUUCGAUCAACAAUCUUCCCUAGCCUCUCCUUGCUCUCGUCCGGGGUGAGCUCGUCGAAGUUCUUGGAGUCCUCCUUGCCCAGGAAGGCCUCGUGGUCGUACUGGAAGCUCUGGUUGUCCUCAGGGGGCCGCUCGCCCAGCUCCGAGUCGGGCCGCACCACGCGCUCUUUGCGCACCGUGGGCUUGGCCCGCAGAACCCGCGGCGCCAGCACCAGCGCCAGCAGCAGCCCCAGGGCUAACCCCAGGCGGCCACCGCGCGCCAUCGUCCCGAGGAGAGGGCGGCCGGGAGGGAGACGCUGAGCGAGCGACAACAGCGGCAGCUCGGGAAUGGGGGCUCGGAGCGCGGCGGCCAAGUUUUAUGUUAUGUAUAUUUUACAAGUAAAAAAAUUUUUUCACCUCAGCCUGAACUGAACACUAGCUGACAGACGUUUUGAUUUCUUUGACCAUCACGGAAUCGUGGCCAAGCGCGGUGGCUCACAUCUGUAAUCCCAACACUUUGGGAGGUCAAGAUGGGCGGAUUGCUUGAAUCCAGGUGUUUGAGAUCAGCCUGGGCAACAUG
rnacentral:lncRNA from 1 species